GUUAAUCCCAGCGCUGCGCUAUAAAAAACGCAAUUUAGAGACUGGGCAACUUGAGCCCAUCCCGGAUAGCUGGAUGGAUACUCACCAUAAAUCAGGCACAGGGAGGAAUUGCGUGCAUAUCGCGACACACAGCAGACACAGACAACUGAUACUGAGAGUUCCACACCAGUUUCGAGUGUGCCUGAAGAUGAAGACAUAUCUUUGGUACAAACUGUCUUCGGAAAACGACGGGGCCACCAGAAAGGAUAUGGACGUAUCCUUAACAUAAGGGACCGAACUCCAUUUGAUUUUUGUCCUUCACAAACUAGAGAUGAAGAGAUGUCUGAGAUGAGA